rnacentral:rRNA from 1 species
CCUACGGGAGGCAGCAGUGGGGGAUAUUGCACAAUGGGGGGAACCCUGAUGCAGCGACGCCGCGUGGGUGAAGGAGUGCUUCGGCAUGUAAAGCUCUAUCGGCAGGGAAGAAGCAAGACGGUACCUGACUAAGAAGCCCCGGCUAACUACGUGCCAGCAGCCGCGGUAAUACGUAGGGGGCGAGCGUGAUCCGGAUUCACUGGGUGUAAAGGGAGCGUAGACGGCCAUGCAAGCCAGGGGUGAAAGCCCGGGGCUCAACCCCGGGACUGCCCUUGGAACUGUGCGGCUAGAGUGCGGGAGGGGAGGGCGGAAUUCCUGGUGUAGCGGUGAAAUGCGUAGAGAUCAGGAGGAACACCGGCGGCGAAGGCGGCCUGCUGGACCGCGACUGACGUUGAGGCUCGAAAGCGUGGGGAGCGAACAGGAUUAGAUACCCUUGUAGUC